ACUUCUAAUUCUUCCAUUAUGUUCUGACGGAUUAUCAAUUUUUUCUUCAUGAUGAGGAACACCUUUCCACGACAGAAUACUUUCAGAUAGAGGAGACAAAUCAUAGGCGGUUGUGUUUUAUGCUGGUUUGUCUGCUCCAUGUGGUAGUAUCUUUAUGCAAAUCAAAUGUACUGUAAAUUAAAUGAA